rnacentral:rRNA from 1 species
AGUGAACGCUGGCGGUAGGCCUAACACAUGCAAGUCGAACGGCAGCACAGUAAGAGCUUGCUCUUACGGGUGGCGAGUGGCGGACGGGUGAGGAAUACAUCGGAAUCUACUUUUUCGUGGGGGAUAACGUAGGGAAACUUACGCUACUACCGCAUACGACCUACGGGUGAAAGCAGGGGAUCUUCGUACCUUGCGCGAUUGAAUGAGCCGAUGUCGGAUUAGCUAGUUGGCGGGGUAAAGGCCCACCAAGGCGACGAUCCGUAGCUGGUCUGAGAGGAUGAGCAGCCACACUGGAACUGAGACACGGUCCAGACUCCUACGGGAGGCAGCAGUGGGGAAUAUUGGACAAUGGGCGCAAGCCUGAUCCAGCCAUACCGCGUGGGUGAAGAAGGCCUUCGGGUUGUAAAGCCCUUUUGUUGGGAAAGAAAAGCAGCAGGUUAAUACCCCGCUGUUCUGACGGUACCCAAAGAAUAAGCACCGGCUAACUUCGUG